GGGCCCGCACAAGCGGAGGAGCAUGUGGUUUAAUUCGAUGAUACGCGAGGAACUUACCUGGGCUUAAAUGUCAGAUGCAAUCUUGGGAAACCAGGAGUCUCUUCGGAGCAUUUGGCAAGGUGCUGCAUGGCUGUCGUCAGCUCGUGCCGUGAGGUGUUGGUUAAGUCCCGCAACGAGCGCAACCCCUAUCAUUAGUUGCCAGCAUUUAGUUGGGCACUCUAGAGAGACUGCCGGUGAUAAACCGGAGGAAGGUGUGGAUGACGUCAAGUCAUCAUGCCCCUUACAUCCUGGGCUACACACGUACUACAAUGCUACGGACAAAGGCGCAAGUUCGCGAGGACAAG
rnacentral:rRNA from 1 species